rnacentral:rRNA from 1 species
GGGUCAGCAAGUUGGUCGUGCCACUGGUAUGCACUGGCUUUGCUGAUUCCUCCUUCUUGUAGAACCGUAAUGCCAUUAAGUUGGUGUUGCGGGGAAACAGGACUGUUACUUUGAAAAAAUUAGAGUGUUUAAAGCAGGCUAACGCUUGAAUACAUUAGCAUGGAAUAAUGAAAUAGGACGACGAUCCUAUUUUGUUGGUUUCUAGGAUUGACGUA